rnacentral:misc_RNA from 1 species
UUGAGCCUGUCCUGAGCAGUGUU